rnacentral:rRNA from 1 species
UACGUAGGGUGCGAGCGUUGUCCGGAAUUACUGGGCGUAAAGCGUGCGCAGGCGGUUUUGUAAGUCAGAUGUGAAAUCCCCGGGCUUAACCUGGGAACUGCGUUUGAAACUACAAGGCUAGAGUGAGGCAGAGGGGGGUGGAAUUCCACGUGUAGCAGUGAAAUGCGUAGAGAUGUGGAGGAACACCGAUGGCGAAGGCAGCCCCCUGGGUUAACACUGACGCUCAGGCACGAAAGCGUGGGGAGCAAACAGG